GCCCCCGUCGCCCAACGGCAGAGGCACCGGUCUGAGGGGCCGGACGGUACGGGUUCGAAUCCCGUCGGGGGCA
rnacentral:tRNA from 1 species